rnacentral:rRNA from 1 species
GACGAACGCUGGCGGCGUGCUUAACACAUGCAAGUCGAACGGAAAGGCCCUGCUUGCAGGGUACUCGAGUGGCGAACGGGUGAGUAACACGUGGGUGAUCUGCCCUGCACUUCGGGAUAAGCCUGGGAAACUGGGUCUAAUACCGGAUAGGAGCCAUUUUUAGUGUGAUGGUUGGAAAGUUUUUUCGGUGUAGGGUGAGCUCGCGGCCUAUCAGCUUGUUGGUGGGGUAAUGGCCUACCAAGGCGGCGACGGGUAGCCGGCCUGAGAGGGUGGACGGCCACAGUGGGACUGAGAUACGGCCCAGACUCCUACGGGAGGCAGCAGGGGGGAAUAUUGCACAAUGGGCGCAAGCCUGAUGCAGCGACGCCGCGUGGGGGAGGACGGCCUUCGGGUUGUAAACGCCUUUCGCUAGGGACGAAGCUUUUUGUGACGGUACCUAGAUAAGAAGCACCGGCUAACUACGUG